rnacentral:rRNA from 1 species
CAGUAGCCGCGGUAAUACGUAGGUGGCAAGCGUUGUCCGGAAUUAUUGGGCGUAAAGGGCUCGCAGGCGGUUUCUUAAGUCUGAUGUGAAAGCCCCCGGCUCAACCGGGGAGGGUCAUCGGAAACUGGGAAACUUGAGUGCAGAAGAGGAGAGUGGAAUUCCACGUGUAGCGGUGAAAUGCGUAGAGAUGUGGAGGAACACCAGUGGCGAAGGCGACUCUCUGGUCUGUAACUGACGCUGAGGAGCGAAAGCGUGGGGAGCGAACAGGAUUAGAUACCCCCGUAGUCCCUGUCUCUUAUAA